rnacentral:rRNA from 1 species
AUUUGAGAGUUUGAUCCUGGCUCAGAACGAACGCUAGCGGUAGGCUUAACACAUGCAAGUCGAACGGAAUCAGGGCUGCUUGCAGCCUUGGUCCCGUGGCAGACGGGUGCGUAACGCGUGGGAACUUGCCUGGUAGUAGGGAAUAACCAGUGGAAACAUUGGGCAACACCCUAUACGCCCUGAGGGGGAAAAUUUAUUGCUAUCAGAUAGGCCCGCGUUAGAUUAGCUAGUUGGUGGGGUAAUGGCCUACCAAGGCGACGAUCUAUAGCUGGUCUGAGAGGAUGAUCAGCCACACUGGAACUGAGACACGGUCCAGACUCCUACGGGAGGCAGCAGUGAGGAAUAUUGGACAAUGGGCGAAAGCCUGAUCCAGCCAUACCGCAUGAGUGAUGAAGGCCCUUGGGUUGUAAAGCUCUUUUAGUGGGGAAGAUAAUGACGGUACCCACAGAAGAAGUCCCGGCUAACUCCGUGCCAGCAGCCGCGGUAAUACGGAGGGGGCUAGCGUUGUUCGGAAUUACUGGGCGUAAAGGGUGCGUAGGCGGUCCCGUAAGUUAGGUGUGAAAUCCUUGGGCUUAACCCAAGAACUGCAUUUAAAAC